UAUAUUUAUCUGUAUUACACAUCCACUGAUAGGUGCCUAGGCUGGCUCUUUGUAUCUCGACCAUCAUGAGCAGUGCUGCAGCACUCACAGGAGAACAUGGGUGCCUCUGGUCUACUCAGCGUGGGGAAUGCCAGGCGCUGGUAGCUCCGUGUCUUGUCUUCUGAGCUACAAAUAAUCUGCUUUCAGAAGGAAGGAGUUAUGUUCCCAAGGAGGGAGACGAGGACAGGGACUGCGGUCCUAACAGGCUGAGCAGACAUCAGAGCUUCCUAGGCUCAUCUAGCCGUGGUCAUCCCCACAGCUCUCUGGCUGACAAGCUUCAGCAGAGGAUCACUGAUAGAGUUACGAUUCUUUUUGUUGAUAGGGUAUGCUCUAUAGCCCAGAAUGGCCUUCAACUCACACUACUUCCUUGGUCUCCCAAAUGCUGUGACUAUAGGCCUGCGAUGUUGGUUUCUUUGGCAUAUUGCUAAUAUAACAUGCUAACUUCAGAGAACACUGGGAAAAAACUAGGAACUACAUAUCAUCUUUGAAAACUUUUUAACUUAAAUCUAUAAUUAUCUAAUAGUUUUAUUUGUCUUCAAAGAAACAAAGUGUUAAGCAGAACGAAAGCGAGGACAAUCUUUACAAAGCAACCUGGAUUGGGUUCUCUGAAGAUCAGCUAAGGGAGAGCAGAGAAUGCUUACCCGACACUUUAAACACAGAUCUGACACUGUGUAGUGAAAAAGCCCACCAUGUACUGGAGAAUAUCAAUCCCAAAUCACCAAUCAUAUUGUUCAGUAAAAUUAUAGGAUUUAAAUACUCACUCCUUUCAUAUCAAAAGAUUGCAUGCCUAGUAAGGCAAAGAAAUAAGAUGACCACAAAACUGUUUUUGCAGCAAUACCUGGGCCAGAAAAGCUACAGAUUUAAAAUACUCAACAAAAGGUGAGCCAAAGACUUAAUUUCCAGCAAAAAUGAGCACCACAUAUAAAGAGCACAGAUGAUUUCCUUCACAGAAGCAGGAAAAUCCAUAGAGCAUUUUCCAUAAAGUCCUGAAGACUCCAUGGAAGAAAUGUAAAGAAACUAUAAUGUAGAAAGAAAUCUUCAUGAAGACUGGUGGUGAAUACUAACCAUACAGUUGGUGCAGCCCAAGGUCAGGGUUGGGGGGCAGGAUAUGGUAACUGUGUGUUAAGAACAUAUAAGACAACUAUGGCUAUUAGGAAGAAUGUAAAUAUAAAUAAAAAUAACAAAAACUCUUGUAAAGUUGUUUUAAACUAUCAGAUUGGUAGCAUGAGUGUUAUUAUUCCUAGAUUAUUAUAUGUGGAAUCCAGAAUUAAAGGACAUAAGUAUUUAAGGACAGAUUAAUUCUAUCAAACCUUUAGUAUAAGAAAAGAGGACAGAGAUGUAUUACAGAAGAAAUAUAUAACCCACUUCAAACUGAUCUUAAAUCUGACUUGGGAACAUUAGUUUAAGUUUGUGAGGCAUUUACCUUAUAUUUUAUCUUUAUGUUUCCCCAUCUGUCCACUAAAAAAAUGAGUUUAGUAACAACUCAGUGCCUACAUGGCAGUCUUGUUACAAAGGCAAGUGUCUAAUGAGAAUGCUUCCCAUAACUGGCUAAUUUCAGUCCCAUAAAGUAGGAGAUAUAAAAUCACACAGGCAUCGUAACCUGCAAGCUAGCAAGAAGCAAGCAGAGACAAUUACAAUUAUGUCAAGAGGACCCAGGAACAAGUUCCUACUGGCUAAACAGAAGGCCUGAAUUAGCAUAAGAUAAAAUUGCAAUAGACCAAAACCUAUAAAUUUAAAUCUGAGAGAAUGUAAUAACCAGCUAGUUAUCUCAUCUGAAUCAAUGAAUGUGGAAAACAGAUAAGGGAUUAUCUUGCCUUUCCCACUAGAACUUUAUCUCCUAAGAAGAAUGAGCACAGGUCCCAGUGAGAGACCUUGUCUCAAAUAAACAAGGGUGGAGGGCUCCUGAGGACACCCAAGGCUGACCUCUGACCUAAACACACACACACACACACACACACACACACACACACACACACACACACACACACAGAGUGUGUGCACCACCUCCCCACGCCUCAACAAAUUAUUCUGAAAAGACAACUACUCUAACAUUUGAAAAGCCUAAUGAAUAUAUGUAUCUAGAUACUGAUCAGUCAACAGCUGCUAAGAGAGCAAAGCCCAGACAUUAUGACUUUCAUGGUGAAAGAACCUAACCACCUUCUACAGUGUUGACUAAGGAUGAAAACUCAGAUCACGCCAGCCAUCCUGUUGCCGUCUGCAGAAAAUGCGGAGGACAGAGGAACACUAUGAACUACCAGACACUGUCCAACUCCACGGGACCUAUGGUCAAUACACAAGUGAAAGGGGAAAGACAGGAGAUGUAUCAAGCUUUAAAAGGGCAAGGUUCCCAUCUGGAUAAUAAAACUACAAGGAAACC